rnacentral:rRNA from 1 species
GGGAUAAGUGGCGGCUGCUAUACAUGCAGUCGAGCGAACAGAUAAGGAGCUUGCUCCUUUGACGUUAGCGGCGGACGGGUGAGUAACACGUGGAUAACCUACCUAUAAGACUGGGAUAACUUCGGGAAACCGGAGCUAAUACCGGAUAACAUAUUGAACCGCAGGGUUCAAUAGUGAAAGGCGGCUUUGCUGUCACUUAUAGAUGGAUCCGCGCCGUAUUAGCUAGUUGGUAAGGUAACGGCUUACCAAGGCAACGAUACGUAGCCGACCUGAGAGGGUGAUCGGCCACACUGGAACUGAGACACGGUCCAGACUCCUACGGGAGGCAGCAGUAGGGAAUCUUCCGCAAUGGGCGAAAGCCUGACGGAGCAACGCCGCGUGAGUGAUGAAGGUCUUCGGAUCGUAAAACUCUGUUAUCAGGGAAGAACAAAUGUGUAAGUAACUGUGCACAUCUUGACGGUACCUGAUCAGAAAGCCACGGCUAACUACGUGCCAGCAGCCGCGGUAAUACGUAGGUGGCAAGCGUUAUCCGGAAUUAUUGGGCGUAAAGCGCGCGUAGGCGGUUUUUUAAGUCUGAUGUGAAAGCCCACGGCUCAACCGUGGAGGGUCAUUGGAAACUGGAAAACUUGAGUGCAGAAGAGGGAAAGUGGAAUUCCAUGUGUAGCGGUGAAAUGCGCAGAGAUAUGGAGGAACACCAGUGGGCGAAGGCGACUUUCUGGUCUGUAACUGACGCUGAUGUGCGAAAGCGUGGGGAUCAAACAGGAUUAGAUACCCUGGUAGUCCACGCCGUAAACGAUGAGUGCUAAGUGUUAGGGGGUUUCCGCCCCUUAGUGCUGCAGCUAACGCAUUAAGCACUCCGCCUGGGGAGUACGACCGCAAGGUUGAAACUCAAAGGAAUUGACGGGGACCCGCACAAGCGGUGGAGCAUGUGGUUUAAUUCGAAGCAACGCGAAGAACCUUACCAAAUCUUGACAUCCUUUGACCGCUCUAGAGAUAGAGUCUUCCCCUUCGGGGGACAAAGUGACAGGUGGUGCAUGGUUGUCGUCAGCUCGUGUCGUGAGAUGUUGGGUUAAGUCCCGCAACGAGCGCAACCCUUAAGCUUAGUUGCCAUCAUUAAGUUGGGCACUCUAAGUUGACUGCCGGUGACAAACCGGAGGAAGGUGGGGAUGACGUCAAAUCAUCAUGCCCCUUAUGAUUUGGGCUACACACGUGCUACAAUGGACAAUACAAAGGGCAGCUAAACCGCGAGGUCAAGCAAAUCCCAUAAAGUUGUUCUCAGUUCGGAUUGUAGUCUGCAACUCGACUACAUGAAGCUGGAAUCGCUAGUAAUCGUAGAUCAGCAUGCUACGGUGAAUACGUUCCCGGGUCUUGUACACACCGCCCGUCACACCACGAGAGUUUGUAACACCCGAAGCCGGUGGAGUAACCAUUUAUGGA